UCUGUAUCAUUCCAAUUAAAAUUAAAAUUAGAAUGAUACAGAGAAGAUUAGCAUGGCCCCUGUGCAAGGGUGACACACAAAUUCGUGAAGUGUUCUAUAUUUUU